AAUGUGACUGGAGUUCAGAGGUUUGCUCUUCCCUGCACGUACCAAAUUCCCCCCACUCCCUCUUCUCACCCCACUGCCCCCUCCCACCUACCCCCUAUUCCCCGCAAGGCCACCACUCACCUUACAUGUGCCUCUUCUCCAGGGCCCAGGCACCUAAUUAGUGGAGCCACGCCUGUGCAGCUCCACUAAUUAGGUGGGUGGCCCUUCAUUCUCUCAUGUGCGGCCACCCAGGCACGCACCUUAGAGGGAACUAUCCGCGGACCCCC